rnacentral:rRNA from 1 species
UGGGGAAUAUUGCACAAUGGGCGCAAGCCUGAUGCAGCCAUGCCGCGUGUAUGAAGAAGGCCUUCGGGUUGUAAAGUACUUUCAGCGAGGAGGAAGGCGUUGUGGUUAAUAACCGCAGCGAUUGACGUUACUCGCAGAAGAAGCACCGGCUAACUCCGUGCCAGCAGCCGCGGUAAUACGGAGGGUGCAAGCGUUAAUCGGAAUUACUGGGCGUAAAGCGCACGCAGGCGGUCUGUCAAGUCGGAUGUGAAAUCCCCGGGCUCAACCUGGGAACUGCAUCCGAAACUGGCAGGCUAGAGUCUUGUAGAGGGGGGUAGAAUUCCAGGUGUAGCGGUGAAAUGCGUAGAGAUCUGGAGGAAUACCGGUGGCGAAGGCGGCCCCCUGGACGAAGACUGACGCUUAGGUGCGAAAGCGUGGGGAGCAAACA